rnacentral:rRNA from 1 species
CAACAGCUCAAAUUUGAAAUCUGGCCUCCUCGAGGUCCGAGUUGUAAUUUGUAGAGGGUGCUUCGGGUGCGAUGCCGGUCUAAGUUCCUUGGAACAGGACGUCAUAGAGGGUGAGAAUCCCGUAUGCGACCGGCAAUCAAGCCCGUGCGAAGCCCCUUCGACGAGUCGAGUUGUUUGGGAAUGCAGCUCAAAAUGGGUGGUAAAUUUCAUCUAAAGCUAAAUAUUGGCCAGAGACCGAUAGCGGACAAGUAGAGUGAUCGAAAGAUGAAAAGCACUUUGGAAAGAGAGUCAAACAGUACGUGAAAUUGUUGAAAGGGAAGCGCUUGCAAUCAGACCGGUCCGGAGGCGAUCAGCCGCUGCUCGUCAGCGGUGCACUCGCCUGCGAUCCGGCCAGCAUCGGUUUGGGCGGCGGGAUAAAAGUCCCGGGAAUGUAGCUUCUCCCGGGGAGUCUUAUAGCCCGGGUCGCAAUGCCGCCCGCCCGGACCGAGGACCGCGCUUCGGCUAGGAUGCUGGCGUAAUGGUUGCAAGCG